GAUGUUCUGAAAGCUGUGUUUAUUCAAGUAUCAAUUUACAUUCUGCAAAAUCUACUAAACAUGAGAUCUGACAAAUGCAUAAUCAUGUAACCACCACCAUAAUCAAGUAGAACAAUUGUGGAACAAGAUGUGAACAGGCAAAAAAAUCUCUUGGAAUCAAUUCAUGUUGCCAAAAGGAUUAAAAUCUAAUCACUAAAAUGACCUUUUGCAUAUAAAAUACAGGACCAUGUUUUUCAAAAAGCGAGAUACUUUAGUUAUGAAAUAGCUACUUAGAAUUGUUUUGACCUUAAUGUACUAAUCUUUGUAGAGUAUAUGAAUCAAGAUAGUUUCAGACUGGGACUAGAUGAUUAAAAAAAAAAAUGGAAUUCUACAGAAAUUAGUCUCUGCGGGACCAACUGCACUAAAAGGCAAAGGCACAAAAUUCUCAGAUAUCUGUUCCUAUGUGUAACUGCACCUGUCUCAAAAUUCACCCCUGCUACAAUAGGCAUAGGGCAAAAUCUCUACUUUGCAUACAGAUACACCUUUUCUACUCGAAAAGCUUCACCUAUUCUUCCAGGUACCAGACCUGUUAAAAAAAAAAAAUCACAAUAGGUAAGUAUUAAGUCAGUAAUUACUAAAUAACAGCAAAAAUAGUGGUUUCUAGUUUCACCCACUGCUGACUCAGUUAACAUAGUAACAUUUUUAAUAUUCAAAAUCCUUUCUCUUGGCUUGAGUAUUGAUUUACUACAGGGGUUUCCCCCCUUUUUUGCCUAAAGCAAAAGGGUGGUGCUGAUUGAAUUUAGUAAAUUCCUGCAUAUCAAAUUGGCCUCAGGUAAAUCCUUUAACCCAUCAGAGUAGAGCAUAUCCAAUCAGGUUAGAGUUCUCAUCUUUGGCCAGGAAUUCUAUUCCUAUUAUUAGCUCAAGCCCCUAGUUUUUUCCAUAGGUCCAUACCUUAUGUUUAUCAACAUCUUGAACUCCACUGAGCCUGGUUAAAAAAAAGUGACAGCAAUAUUAAUAACGGGCUACAACUUUAUCUUUGGAAGAGCAGCCACUAUUUUGGCUAUCUACUAAGCUAUCUUUGAGGAUUACAUAGAACACUACCUCUAAAUAGAUCUUUUUUUUUUUUUUUUUUUUUGGGACCGGAGAUCGAACUCUGGACCUUGCACUUGCAAGGCAGGCACUGGAACCACUGAGCUAAAAUUCCCGGCCCUAAAUAGAUAUUUUUUAUAAAGCUGCAACCUCCAAAUUUCUGACACUUGGGAGUCUUCUGUAAUUUCCAGUUAUGAGUGAAAUGAAGCAAGAUUCCUUAUACUGUUACCAUCUUUCCAACUAUAUCUGAUACACUAGCACGGAAUGGCAUCACGUUUAUGGUAUUUUCUUAGGAAAAACUGAAACACAACUUUUCCAGAUUUUUAAAAAUCAAAAGCACUCAUUUGUUUACCCUGAAGCUGAGAUUAAACCCAGAGGUUGAGAAGUUUCCGGUUUCCACAGCCUUUAAAUAGACUAGCUCUGGCUGCCGCCUUGAUCUGCCAAGCUCUCUGCUUACGUCUCUCAUAGGUCAAACUGAAUAAACACUUUGGCUCAAGAGGAACCCUAACACCAAGAGCAAUGCUAAACAAAGGGGACCCAUUCCCUGUUCCGUGUGCAGGGCUAUCUGUCAGAUUGGGGUACUCAGGACAGGGAAAGUUGUCCAAGUGGUCUAGGGCUGAACAAGAUGCCGGGAACACGGGCCACCCACACUACACUCCCUUCCUCUUUAAUGACACUCAGAAUGCUCAGUGAAGCCUGAGAGGAUUAGUAUGAGGCGAAAAUACGAACUGAGACUAGACCUUUAUAAGGGGAUGGGGUGCCGGGCUGUCUCGAACAACGGCGAGAGCAGCGACCAGGGGCUGGCUAGGUGACCUCUUAUUUAUAUGGGCAAGGGGUAUGGGGGGGGGCAUAGUGGAGGCAGCCAGUGGUGAGGUUUAAAUCCAUUGGCAAUUUGAAUUUCUCGGUGGGAAGGACUAUAAGUGGGAAAGCUUCAAGGCGGUAAAGUUAGGUUAUUGUUUCCCUGAAUGACUUAUUAUCUGCCAGGAAGGUCCAUUUAGGAGGUGGGCUUGCCAGAGCCAUUUUAUCUAGCAGAGAACUCUAUCAAUACCCCAAAUACGGACACACGUACCCCAAGACUUAGAAACUCUUGAGAGAAGCUGUCCAGGACGGCCUCGUAUGCUCUAUAGCUUGGUGGGCAGAAGUCAGGUAUUUAAGGCCGUGUCCAAGGCAGAACCUUGGGUUCAGAUUUUUUUCCCCAGGGAAGAAAAGCCAGGCCUCCCUCCCUGAACAGCUGGAAGCGGGCCCUGCGCAGCACACCGCGCCGGCCGCCCCUAAAAGGCGGAUCUGGGGGCGAAACGUGGGCUUCCUCAGUUCAGGCUCAGAGCGGUGUGUCUGACUCACGGGUCUUCAGCUCCCGCUAGACUCUCCCUGGAACCUUUUCAAAAUCCCAAAUGCCUUCCAAAGUGACAACUAAAAGGCAUUUGUGGCGGGGAAGUGGCCGCGUGGGCGAAAUUACCUCCGUUUCCAGCCAGAACUGGAAUUAUACUGCUCCACUAGGAAAUUUCAAAAUGCUUCAGAACCUCUGAUCUCAUCUGCUUCCUCGAUAGACCAUGUGCCCGUGACCCGGCGGGAGCCCCGAUCCCGGAGGUCCCCGCGCAGGGCAGGGGGUGCAGGCGGCUGGGUCCACAGACCGCCGUCCAGAGUCUACUCACCCAGGAGUGCGCGCGGCCGAAAAGGGAAGGAGCUGGCGAGGCCCAGUUGAAAAGGGCCCUGGGCCGUCCUCACCCGCGCAGCAGCCAACCAAAAAUUGGCCCGGACGCCCCUCCCGGGCCAGCACCCCGCCUAGCGCCUGCCUCCCCGCCCGCCCAGCCCGGAGGCCCUCGCGCGUCCCCUGCCGGGAGAAGGAGCCCUGGUCUCCCGCGGCCAGGGCCUCUCGGCCUCCCCAGUCGCGGGCUCGGACAGCACUGGGAAGGAAUUUCAGUAAAAUCCUGUGCAGACACCAAUCUUGGCAGCAUGCAGUCUUGAGGUUGUCCUGCUGGCUUCCUCCUUCAGCCUGUCCCCUGGUCUCAGUGGGGAUUGGCUAAGAUUCCUUUCUGAUCAGGUGGGAGAACCACGGUCUCUGCCCAACAGCUUGCCUGUUCCAAGCAGCUGCAAGCUUGUUCUCAAGCCAGAAGACAAUGACUGCCCUCACUGAAGCAGAGAUCGAAAUUGGCACCUGCCCUCCUUUGCUUCUCUGUAUAGCAAAACUCCCUUAAGAGUUGUCUCUAUUUGGGUGGGGGAUUUAGCUCAGUGGUUUUGCCGCCUGCUGUGCAAGCACAAGGACCCAAGUUCAAUCCCCGGUACCAAAAAAAAAAAAAAAGAGUUGUUUCUAUUUGUCUCCAUUCCUCUCCUCCAUUCUCUUGUGAAUCUGAUUGUGGUGGACAGUGCCCAGUAGCCCACCUCCUGCAAUUCAUGCCCUUGUCAGACCCCUGCCCUUGGUGUGGGGUGAACAGUAGAAGUGAUAGGAUGGCACACAAAAAGAUGCCAAGCAUGCUGUGUCAUGAAGGAAUUGCAUAUUAAAGCAGCACUGAGAUACUACUACACACCCACUGGAAUCACUGAAAUCCCAAACACUGACACCUUCAAAUGUUGGUGAGGAUGCGGAGCAACAGGAAUGCUCAUUCAUUGCUAGUGGGAAUGCAAAAUGGAGUAUUUGGAAGACCAUUUGUUGGUUUGUUACAAAGCUGAACAUACUUUUACCACAUGAUCCAGGAAUUUUACUCCUUGGUAUUUACCCAGGGGAGUUGAACACUUAUGUGCACACAAACACCUGUGCACAAAUGAUUAUAUCAACUUUAUUCAUAACCACCAAAAUUUGAGAGGGCAAGGGGAAUUUUUAAAAAUCAAGAUGCAAUGUUUAUAUGUACCAAUUCUCUAAAAUGAAUGUAUUUAUUAUGUAUUGCAAACAUAUACUAAUAAAAUUUUUUUAAAAAUUGGGAGCAACCAAGAUGUUCUUCUGUAGGUGAAUGAAUAAACUGUGGUUCAUCGAGACCACAGAAUAUUUAGCACUAAAUAAAAUGAGCUAUCAACUCACAAAAGGACAUGCAGAAAGCUUGAAGGCAUGUUACAAAGUGAAUGAAGCCAAUCUGAAAAGGCUACAUAUUGUAUGAUUCCAACUAUUUAACAUUUAGAAAAGGCAAAACUGGAGACAGUGAGAAGAUCAGUGAUUGCCAGACAGUGGGGGAAGGGAAGAUGGAUGAAUGGAAUGAGAUUUUUGGCAGUGAGAGUAGAAAUUCUGUAUGAUACAUUCAUGAAAAUCCAGAGUGUCUAACACAGAGUGAACCCUAAUGAAAUCUAUGAACUUUGCUUGGUAAUGAUGUGUCAGUGUAGGUUCACCAAUUGUAACAAAUGUACCACCUCGGAAUGGGAUGCUGAUAGUGAGG
ensembl:lncRNA